rnacentral:rRNA from 1 species
GAUGAACGCUGGCGGCGUGCCUAAUACAUGCAAGUCGAGCGAACAGACGAGGAGCUUGCUCCUCUGACGUUAGCGGCGGACGGGUGAGUAACACGUGGAUAACCUACCUAUAAGACUGGGAUAACUUCGGGAAACCGGAGCUAAUACCGGAUAAUAUAUUGAACCGCAUGGUUCAAUAGUGAAAGACGGUUUUGCUGUCACUUAUAGAUGGAUCCGCGCCGCAUUAGCUAGUUGGUAAGGUAACGGCUUACCAAGGCAACGAUGCGUAGCCGACCUGAGAGGGUGAUCGGCCACACUGGAACUGAGACACGGUCCAGACUCCUACGGGAGGCAGCAGUAGGGAAUCUUCCGCAAUGGGCGAAAGCCUGACGGAGCAACGCCGCGUGAGUGAUGAAGGUCUUCGGAUCGUAAAACUCUGUUAUUAGGGAAGAACAAAUGUGUAAGUAACUAUGCACGUCUUGACGGUACCUAGUCAGAAAGCCACGGCUAACUACGUG